UGAGGAAUAUUGGUCAAUGGGCGAGAGCCUGAACCAGCCAAGUAGCGUGCAGGAUGACAGCCCUAUGGGUUGCAAACUGCUUUUGUGCGGGAAUAACGUCAGCCACGCGUGACUGAAUGCAUGUACCGCAUGAAUAAGGACCGGCUAAUUCCGUGCCAGCAGCCGCGGUAAUACGGAAGGUCCGGGCGUUAUCCGGAUUUAUUGGGUUUAAAGGGAGCGUAGGCCGCCUUUUAAGCGUGUUGUGAAAUGCAGUCGCUCAACGUCUGCACUGCAGCGCGAACUGGAGGGCUUGAGUGCACGGGAAGCUGGCGGAAUUCGUCGUGUAGCGGUGAAAUGC
rnacentral:rRNA from 1 species